GUCCUCUGGUUUCUCUUCAGUUCAUGUAAAUCUUUUACCUUUUAAUAAACAUUUUCGUUGAGAGGAACAACUCUGAGUCUUAACCCAAUUUUUUGAGGCCCUUUGUCUGCAGGGCA
rnacentral:snRNA from 1 species